GCGUGGCGCAGAGGAAGCGUGCUGGGCCCAUAACCCAGAGAUCGGUGGAUCGAAACCACUCGC
rnacentral:tRNA from 1 species